rnacentral:rRNA from 1 species
UGUGUCAGCAGCCGCGGUAAAACGUAGGAGGCGAGCGUUAUCCGGAUUUACUGGGUGUAAAGCGCGUGCAGGCGGUUUGUUAAGUUGGAUGUGAAAGCUCCCGGCUCAACUGGGAGAGGUCGUUCAAGACUGGCAAACUGGAGAGCAGUAGGGGAAGGUGGAAUUCCGGGUGUAGUGGUGAAAUGCGUAGAUAUCCGGAGGAACACCAGUGGCGAAGGCGGCCUUCUGGACUGCAUCUGACGCUCAGACGCGAAAGCUAGGGGAGCAAACGGGAUUAGAGACCCCGGUAGUCCUAGCCGUAAACGAUGUGAACUUGGCGCCGGUUGGGUAAAACCGAUCGGUGCCGGAGCAAACGCGAUAAGUUCACCACCUGGGGACUACGGCCGCAAGGUUAAAACUCAAAGGAAUUGACGGGGGCCCGCACAAGC